AGAAUGUCAACUGAAUGACAGAAACACGAGUCUGGGAUGGAGGAACAGUUUCUAUAUAGCCAGAACACUGCACAGCUGAGGAAUGCAUCCAGCAUGUGAUGAAGGAGUGAAUCUGGUCACACGGGGAUGAAUAUAUACAGCUUUUACACAGAGCACGUGUUUUGAAAAAUCAGUGCUGAACAGAAGCUUUCAAAUUAGGUACAAUUGGAUUUUCUACUGCUGGUCAGAUGCAGCCUAUGAGUAAGUCAACGGGAGAGUGAGGGAGACAGCCUAUUUUCCUGCCACUAUUGACAGCUCGUCA